GUCAACAGUAAAAGUUUUGUAUACCAAAUGGCUAUUGUAUAGAGCAUUGUAAAAUUGACUAGUAAUUUGUUAUUCGUACCUAUAAAUUGUUAAAUUAUUCUACUUAAAACUAAGUUGAUACGGGAUGAACAAGUGAGUCAGUAAGCUGGUCCCACAUGCUAAGGAUCCAGCCAGUGAUACCGCGUGAUAUUAAUGACUUGUUCGCAUAAACGGUUGUCGCUGGUAGAUACAUCCAUACAAACCCACGG